AGAGUUUGAUCAUGGCUCAGGACGAACGCUGGCGGCGCGCUUAACACAUGCAAGUCGAACGGAAGGCUUCGGCCUUCAGUGGCGAACGGGUGCGUAACACGUGAGCAACCUGCCUGCCGGUGGGGGAUAACCCGGGGAAACCCGGGCUAAUACCGCAUUCGCUCUUAUUCUCGAUUGGGGAUUUGAGGAAAGGUGCUGCAAGGCACUGCCGGCAGAGGGGCUCGCGGCGUAUCAGCUAGCUGGUGGGGUAACGGCCUACCAGGGCGACGACGCGUAGCCGAUCUGAGAGGAUGAUCGGCCACAUUGGGACUGAGAUACGGCCCAGACUCCUACGGGAGGCAGCAGUGGGGAAUCUUGCGCAAUGGGCGAAAGCCUGACGCAGCGACGCCGCGUGGGGGAGGAAGCCCUUCGGGGUGUAAACCUCUGUCAGAGGGGAAGAACGGGCACCCGAGGAAAUGCGGGUGCUAUGACGGUACCCUCAGAGGAAGCACCGGCUAACUCUGUGCCAGCAGCCGCGGUAAUACAGAGGGUGCGAGCGUUGUUCGGAAUUACUGGGCGUAAAGCGCGCGCAGGCGGCUCUUUAAGUCUACCCGUGAAAUGCCGGAGCUCAACUCCGUGCACGCCGGGGGAUACUGGAGGGCUGGAGACGAGUAGAGGCAAGCGGAAUUCCGGGUGUAGCGGUGGAAUGCGUAGAGAUCCG
rnacentral:rRNA from 1 species